rnacentral:rRNA from 1 species
CAGAGGGUGCAAGCGUUAAUCGGAAUUACUGGGCGUAAAGCGUGUGUAGGUGGUGAGGUAAGUUAGAUGUGAAAUCCCCGAGCUCAACUUGGGAAUUGCGUUUAAAAACUACCUUGCUAGAGUGUUAUAGAGGAUAGUGGAAUUUCCAGUGUAGCGGUGAAAUGCGUAGAUAUUGGAAGGAACACCAGUGGCGAAGGCGACUAUCUGGAUAAAUACUGACACUGAGACACGAGAGCAUGGGGGAGCAAACAGGAUUAGAUACCCUGGUAGUCCAUGCUGUAAACUAUGAGAACUUGCUGUUGGAUGCAUAAAGGCAUUUAGUAGCGUAGCUAACGCGUUAAGUUCUCCGCCUGAGGAGUACGGCCGCAAGGCUA